UACGUAGGUCCCGAGCGUUGUCCGGAUUUACUGGGCGUAAAGGGAGUGUAGGCGGACUUUUAAGUGAGAUGUGAAAUACUCGGGCUCAACUUGAGUGCUGCAUUUCAAACUGGAAGUCUAGAGUGCAGGAGAGGAGAAUGGAAUUCCUAGUGUAGCGGUGAAAUGCGUAGAGAUUAGGAAGAACACCAGUGGCGAAGGCGAUUCUCUGGACUGUAACUGACGCUGAGGCUCGAAAGCGUGGGGAGCAAACAGG
rnacentral:rRNA from 1 species